CUCUGCGCAUAUCAUGGCGGGUACAGCGGCCAAUCCCUGUAGAUCCGUACGCAGCCACGCCCCACGUUCCUCAGUCCCCACGCAAAUCGAUCGAUUUGUUUGCUCCGUUCUCCGGCACGCACCCAAGCACUCAGCCGGCAAGGCCGAUCGACGGCGGCACACCGCAACACCCACGGCGACGCCACGACCAGUCGCAUAGCCCAGGCGGGAGGCAGAUGAAGAUAGCAUCGGACAACAAUUCUGCCCCGGUAUACUAUGGGCAAGCUUCUUCUCAAGAGAAACCCAUCAUGAUAUCUGCUCCAAGAAACAUAAGUUGUGGACAAAAAUGUACUGAAAGGCUACGGACCCGUGGUCUUUGAUGACGACAUGAUGUAUUUUUGAAUUUGGAAAUGCAGGACUCCAUUUGCAAGUAAUCCAGUCCUUUGUUUCAUUAUUGUAGUAUAAGCAUAAUUGUUACCUUUUCGUAUUUAAAGAAUUGUCUUCUACUAAAUCUAAUAAUCUAAACCAAAAGUUAUAAAACAUACUCUUAUUUUUAAGUUGGAACAUUAUUGAUUUAAAAUUUAUGCAAUGUUAAAGGGAUACUAUUAAAGUGGUGCAUCAGGGUAACUUUAGCUCCAGCUCCG